rnacentral:rRNA from 1 species
AUGUGGGAGGAAUGCUUGCCUCAUAUUGAAUUUGCUUAUAAUCGUUCAUUGCAUUCUACUACUAAGAUGUGCCCUUUCGAAGUUGUGUAUGGUUUCCUACCUCGUGCACCUAUUGAUUUGUUGCCUCUUCCAUCUUCGGAGAAGGUUAAUUUUGAUGCUAAACAACGUGCUGAAUUGAUUUUAAAAAUGCAUGAGUUAACUAAGGAAAACAUUGAGCGUAUGAAUGCUAAAUAUAAACUUGCUGGAGAUAAGGGUAGAAAACAUGUUGUGUUUGCACCUGGAGAUCUUGUUUGGUUACAUUUGCGUAAGGAUAGAUUUCCUGAUUUGCGCAAAUCAAAGCUAAUGCCCCGUGCUGAUGGUCCCUUUAAGGUGUUAGAGAAAAUAAAUGAUAAUGCAUAUAAACUUGAGCUGCCUGCAGAUUUUGGGGUUAGUCCCACUUUUAACAUUGCAGAUUUGAAGCCUUAUUUGGGUGAGGAAGAUGAACUUCCGUCGAGGACGACUUCAUUUCAAGAAGGGGAGGAUGAUGAGGACAUCAAUACAAUUGUUACACCCACAGCCCCUGCUGCUAUACAUACUGGACCAAUUACUAGAGCUCGUGCACGCCAACUAAAUUACCAGGAAACAGACCCUCGUGGUCAGGUUGAUCGUGCUCCGGCGUGGUCAAUAACCUCUCGGAGUUGGUUUAGCGAUUGCUAA